rnacentral:lncRNA from 1 species
UUUACACUGUAAAAUGUAAUAUUGUGUUUAAUUAAAAAUAUUAAAUAGGCUGAACUCAAUUUUUAUCAAUUUGUUAUUAGAACUCAAUUUAAAUAAGUUACCAGUACUUUUUAUGCAAAAAUGCUGAUAAACUCGAUUAAUUUGAGUUGUCCUAACUUAGAAAAACUAAGUAAGCUGGAAGUUUUGCUUCUCAGGGCGGAAGGAUGAAAGAUGUGUUUUGAAAAUGCCACGUGACUACCGUCCUCCUCCCUCCCGGAUCAGUCCGCAUGUUCAUGGCGCCAGCAUUUGUUAUGGAAUAUAUUGAGCAAACCUGGAGAUAUUAUUGUUGUCAUUGCUGUGGAUCUUUACUGACUUGGCUCGGGACCAGCACUCCUGUUGUUGGACAGAAAGACAUCAACUCAGUGACUUGAGAUGUGACUGCACGAUGCUGUUGCUUCGACUCCAGUUAAUUCUACAAGACAUGCUGUGUAAGUAAACAAACAACAACAGUUUGGUCUGCAUUUCUUGAAAGAUCACAUCCCCCAAACUUAGUUUAGAGGGUCUACACUGUAUAUAGUGAAGUCUGCAAGUUUUCUAACAGCAAAAUUUGUUUUGUGCCCAAAAUCAUUUUGCACAUCAUUAGAAUGAAAGUUAUUGCCCAUGUUUGCAUAGCACUUUUUAAAGUUAUUCUUUCAUGACAAUAUUGUGUGUUGGUCACAGCUAUCCAGACUGACAAUUGGGACAUUGAAUGUCACCUCUCCGGCGGGGAGGGAGCCUGAGAUUGUCUAAAUUGGAGUCUGUUUUAUACCAAAUGCAGAAAAAAUGUUUUAAGAAAGCAAUU